GACGGAGGGUGCAAGCGUUGUUCGGAAUUACUGGGCGUAAAGGGCGCGUAGGCGGUCUGUUAAGUUCGGUGUGAAAGCCCCCGGCUCACCUGGGGAACUGCGCCGGAAACCGACAGACUCGAGUACCGGAGAGGAGGGUGGAAUUCCUGGUGUAGCGGUGAAAUGCGUAGAUAUUGGGAGGAACACCAGUGGCGAAGGCGGCUCACUGGACCGGAACUGACGCUGAGGCGCGAAAAGCGUGGGGAG
rnacentral:rRNA from 1 species